GAGAAGAGUCAAGAGACAUAGAAAUUGCUAACUAUCUUUAACUAAGGUUAAAUUCCUUAGUCUACUCA
rnacentral:tRNA from 2 species